rnacentral:rRNA from 1 species
GACGAACGCUGGCGGCGUGCUUAACACAUGCAAGUCGAACGGAAAGGCCCUGCUUUUGUGGGGUGCUCGAGUGGCGAACGGGUGAGUAACCCGUGAGUAACCUGCCCUUGACUUUGGGAUAACUUCAGGAAACUGGGGCUAAUACCGGAUAGGAGCUCCUGCUGCAUGGUGGUGGUUGGAAUGUUUCGGCGGUUGGGGAUGGACUCGCGGCUUAUCAGCUUGUUUGUGGGGUAGUGGCUUACCAAGGCUUUGACGGGUAGCCGGCCUGAGAGGGUGACCGGCCACAUUGGGACUGAGAUACGGCCCAGACUCCUACGGGAGGCAGCAGUGGGGAAUAUUGCACAAUGGGCGGAAGCCUGAUGCAGCAACGCCGCGUGCGGGAUGACGGCCUUCGGGUUGUAAACCGCUUUCGCCUGUGACGAAGCGUGAGUGACGGUAAUGGGUAAAGAAGCACCGGCUAACUACGUG